rnacentral:rRNA from 1 species
CAGGCUGCAACCCGCCUGCAUGAAGUUGGAAUCGCUAGUAAUCGCGGAUCAGCAUGCCGCGGUGAAUACGUUCCCGGGCCUUGUACACACCGCCCGUCACACCAUGAGAGUCGGGAACACCCGAAGUCCGUAGCCUAACCGCAAGGGGGGCGCGGCCGAAGGUGGGUUCGAUAAUUGGGGUGAAGUCGUAACAAGGUAGC